UUUUCCCUUUUAUGUUAUACAACAAAGGAAAUAACCCAACUGAAGAAAUAAAUCAAAUUUGAUACAGCAAAAUCCGCAUACCAGAUCGACUUAGAGACCGAGAAGGAUGUCCAAAAAUUCUGAAUUUGGUGAAGUGAAUUUGAUUUUGGCUGGUCAAAGAGGCGGGAGCCAAAUCAUGAAGCAAGGGUUUAUCAUUCUAUGUCUUUCAUUCCAUCCUUAUCUAUCAUCUACACCACAAAUUCGUUGUGUUUUCAUCUUCUACGAUCAGAGUUCAUUAGGGUCUGCAUGCCAUUAAUUUAGGAGACAGUGGGCUUAUAGUGGUUAGAGAUGGAUGCACCAUUUUCCGAUCCCCUGUGCAGCAGCAUGAUUUUAACUUCACAUACCAAUUGGAGAGUGGAAAUGGCGGUGAUUUGCCUAGCUCUGGUCAGGUCUUUACAAUUCCUGUUGCUCCAGGAGAAGUUGUAAUUGCUGGCACUGAUGGACUCUUUGACAAUUUGUACAACAAUGAGGUUACUGCAGUGGUGGCUCAUGCCAUGAGAGCUGGCUUGGGGCCCCAGGUUACAGCUCAGAAGAUAGCAGCGCUGGCUUGCCAACGAGUCCAGGAUAAGAACCGUCAGACUCCUUUUUCCACAGCUGCCCAAGAUACUGGUUCCGUUAUUAUGGUGGCAAGCUUGAUGACAUCACCGUCAUCGUUUCCUAUAUUACCAGCACCAGAAAUCAACAAAAAAGUAUUUUAUUAGAAGGAGAGAAAAAAUACAAACAGGAGGACAAUGAGUCUGCCACAAUAUCAAUGCCUCAAAACUACACAUCACACUGCUAUCCAAUCUCUAGAAAUCAAAAGAAAGGAAUCCCUUUAAAUGGAGAGAAAACAGAAGCCCAAAAGGAUGCCAGGGGGGAGAUAUAGUUGUUUUAAAAAGUAUCAUUAGACCAACAGAAACAGUUGCAAUCGGAGUAUUUAAAAGCACAGACGCAUUUAAAAAAGUAGAAGGAGAAGAAUUAUGACCUGACUAUUGGGAGGUACAUGUUCAAGUGCCAAUCAAACCUAAUGAGAGCUUGAUCAGAUCAUAUGGACUUGUCAAAACAGUUGGAUAAGCUAUUGGAGCUCAUGUUGCUUGGCCUGCUCCAUUUGUGAUAUAUUUUUUUCGUAAAUAAUAAUUUCAUUAACAAAUUUAUAUUAACUUAAUAUAGUGUCAAUUACCUUUAUAAGUUUAUCUUUUGGAUGUAGAUUUCGCAAGUUAUGGAUGCUAGCCGAGAAUAUUUAUACAAGUAAGGUUGAGAGUUUUGGAAUUGAUUUUGUUUUGAUAAUUUGUCUCUUUGAAAUAUAGAUGUCACUACUAUGGCUUUUCAGAAUUUAUGGUUGGAAUAAUUUUCUUUUUAAUUUUUUUUUGCUUUAACUUUGUUAGUGUAGUAGA